rnacentral:rRNA from 1 species
UACGGAGGAUGCAAGCGUUAUCCGGAAUUAUUGGGCGUAAAGCGUCCGCAGGUGGUUUAUCAAGUCUGCUGUCAAAGCGCGAGGCUUAACUUCGUAAAGGCAGUGGAAACUGAUAGACUGGAGUGCGGUAGGGGCAGAGGGAAUUCCCAGUGUAGCGGUGAAAUGCGUAGAUAUUGGGAAGAACACCCGUGGCGAAGGCGGCUCUCUGGGACGGUACUGACGCUGAGACGCGAAAGCGUGGGGAGCAAACAGG